rnacentral:rRNA from 1 species
GUCUGCACGAGGAAAAUAUGUGCAGUCUGACCUGCCCCCUGAGUUUUAAAGGGCCGCGGUAUUUGGACCGUGCUAAGGUAGCAUAAUAAAUAGUCUUUUAAUUGAAGUCUAGUAUGAAUGGUUGGACAUGAAGUGAGCUGUUUUAACUAUGGUGUUUGAAUUUUACUUUUGAGUGAAAAGGCUUAAAUUAAAUGGUGGGACGAUAAGACCCUAUAAAGCUUUACAUUUUAUUCUUUGAUUGAAAGGUUUAGGGUUUCUUAUUUUUAUUUAAUAAAGUGUUUCGUUGGGGCGACGAAAAUAUAAAUUGUAACUGUUUUUGUUUAAAAAAUAUGUUUUUAUAGGUGAGUUGAUCCUUUAUAGAGAUUAUAAGAUUUAAGUUACUUUAGGGAUAACAGCGUAAUUUAUCUUGAGAGUUCAUAUCGACAGAUAUAGUUGCGACCUCGAUGUUGAAUUAAAAUACCCCCUCGGUGUAGCAGUUAAGGCGGUAGGUCUGUUCGACCUUUAAAAUUUU